rnacentral:misc_RNA from 1 species
UUUCCGUAGGUGAACCUGCGGAAGGAUCAUUAUGAAUGAAAAACGAAUAACUUCAGGGAAGAAGGGAACCUGCACGGUGACCUCCCCUGUCGGGCCACCCAAUACCUUCAAAAUGCCGCCGUCCUAGCGGUGGCAGACGAAAAAAAAACAAGAAAAACAAAAUAGAAACAGGCACGGUGGCCCGUUCACCUUCACACAACCCUCCGAGUACCGCUUCCAUGUUGCUUCCCCGCAAAUCCACCUCUUUGGUGAGCGCGGGGGAGGUCCGCAUCAAAUUCACCUGAAUGUCACAGCAGUCAGACAGCCAUUCAUGGAAACAAUAAAACUUUCAACAACGGAUCUCUUGGUUCCC